rnacentral:lncRNA from 1 species
GUUUAUUCAGUAAACAUCUCUCAAAUUAUUUCUCUAUGCCAGGCAUGGAGGCAUAAGAGGAAAGGAAGGAAAACACUCUAACCUUGUGAGAUGGAUAUUUUUGUCCCUGUUUUAUGAAUGAGAAGCCUGAGGUUCAAUGCCUGGCCCCAGAUGGCCUGAAACCCAAGUCACUAACCAGGGGUUCAUGGUUUUAUCCUCUCCAAGGCCAUGGAGCCUCUCUGACCUUCUCUGCUUGUUCUCUCCAUUUCCACUCUGUUGAGGCCCCAAGGCCAAACAGAGCACCUGGAAAUCACACAGUUCUGCUGAGCUCUGGCUUCCAGGUGUCUGAAUCCAAGGCUGAGAACUCAGAUUUGAAUGUUCAGGAACUCAACUGCCAAAAUAUCAGACAUAUAAGUGGAAAAAGUUUAUCCCUUUUGGGCUGAUAAAUAUUUGUCAGAAGCCUGGGAUGAUUGAGGUAAGACUCCAGUGGCUUGUCAAAGGGAGGAUUCAAUCAGACACUGCGUCAGAGAGAAGCAGCAGAUGAGCUGAACUUGAGAAAUCUUCCAGCCUUUUGCUUGACAGAUGUGGAAACUGAUGCCACGAGAGGGGACCUGGCAGGGCGCCAUCCAUGGGUCUUCCAGAAGCAUGGCACUUUCGAUUGAUCUGGCUGAGAAGACUCCCUCAGGAUCCACCUAACCACCUGCAGCCUGAGUGGGCACCACCUCUGGCUCCUUUGCAAAGAAAAACCUCUGUUUUGGGAUUGCAGCCCCAGGGACCUGCUGAACAGAUUAACCUGCAAGUUGUUAGGCGAGUUCAGGCCACAAGGUGGCAGCAGAGGACUAGCUUGGUCAUAUGCACUUGCUCGCUGACUUGGGAGGCCUGGUUGGGGCAGGUGCUUUCCUUCACACCAGGCGGUUGGAAAGGGAGGGGAGUGAGCCAGCAUUUUAGAGGGUUGGGGGAUCAGUACCAACAGAUGCAGAAAGAUUCCAGGAGGGUGUUAAGAUGAAACUUAAAAGAAUACAAAAUCAUGUAUUGAGUAUUUACUGUGAGCUGGGUAAUCUGCUUAACACAACAUAAACUAUAUGUUCCAUUUCUUGGAAUAACCUUAUUAUCCCUUUUUGAUGUAUGAGGAAACAGAGGCUCAGAUUAAUUAAAUUACUCACCCAGGCUCACAUAGUUAUAGGUGAUGGAGCCAGGAAUGAAAAUCAGGUCUGCCUGCCUUGAAAGCCUGAGUUCUGAACCUGUGUUCCACAGAGCAAGUGUCAGUGUAGACCUGUGGUUCUCAAAGUGUGGUCCUGGGACUCUGGU